GACGUAGGUGGCGAACGUUAUCCGGAAUUAUUGGGCGUAAAGGGUGCGUAGAUGGUCGAAUAAGUCAGUGGUGAAAUCUCCGAGCUUAACUUGGAAACUGCCGUUGAUACUAUCUGUCUUGAAUAUUGUGGAGGUGAGCGGAAUAUGUCAUGUAGCGGUGAAAUGCUUAGAUAUGACAUAGAACACCAAUUGCGAAGGCAGCUCGCUACACAUAUAUUGACUCUGAGGCACGAAAGCGUGGGGAUCAAACAGG
rnacentral:rRNA from 1 species